rnacentral:rRNA from 1 species
CGGGUGGCGGACGGGUGAGUAAUACUUAGGAAUCUGCCCAUUAGUGGGGGACAACUCGAGGAAACUCGAGCUAAUACCGCAUACGCCCUACGGGGGAAAGCGGAGGACCUUUCGGGGCUUCGCGCUAAUGGAUGAGCCUAAGUCGGAUUAGCUUGUUGGCGAGGUAAGGGCUCACCAAGGCGACGAUCCGUAGCUGGUCUGAGAGGACGAUCAGCCACACUGGGACUGAGACACGGCCCAG